GUGAAUCAUCGAAUCUUUGAACGCAUAUUGCACUCUCGUUAGAGAGUAUGCCUGUUUCAGAAUAGAUAAAAACCAUAUAUUGAAAGAAAUUUUUUUUUUUCAAUGAAUUGGACUUGUUGAUUUUCUUUGAAAAGAAACUGGUCUUAAAAAAAAAUUGUAAAAAUUUAAAUAAAAAAUUUUUAAAUAUAAUAAAUUCAUAUUUUAUUUGAAAUUUUUUAUUUUAGAUUUUAUAUAGGAAAAAAUUAUUUUACAAACCUAUUUCUGAAAUCAGGUAGGAUUACCCGCUGAACUUAAGCAUAU
rnacentral:misc_RNA from 1 species